AGCAGCCGCGGUAAUUCCAGCUCCAAUAGCGUAUAUUAAAGUUGUUGCAGUUAAAAAGCUCGUAGUUGAAUUUCGGGAUCAAUUAAUUGGUCGUGCCUCUGGUACGUACUGAUUUUAUUGGUUUCUCCCUUCUGACGAACCAUGAUGUCAUUAAUUUGAUGUCGUGGAGAAUCAGGACUGUUACUUUGAAAAAAUUUAGAGUGUUUAAAGCAAGCUAACGCUUGAAUACAUUAGCAUGGAAUAAUGAAAUAGGACGUUUGAUCCUAUUUUGUUGGUUUCUAGGAUCGACGUAAUGAUUAAUAGGGAUAGUUGGGGGCAUUAGUAUUCAAUUGUCAGAGGUGAAAUUCUUGGAUUUAUUGAAGACUAACUACUGCGAAAGCAUUUGCCAAGGAUGUUUUCAUUAAUCAAGAACGAAAGUUAGGGGAUCGAAGACGAUCAGAUACCGUCGUAGUCUUAACCAUAAACUAUGCCGACUAGGGAUCGGAUGAUGUUAAUUUUUUAAUGACUCAUUCGGCGCCUU
rnacentral:rRNA from 1 species